UACGUAGGAUCCGAGCGUUGUCCGGAGUUACUGGGUGUAAAGCGUGCGCAGGCGGUUUUGUAAGUCAGAUGUGAAAUCCCCGGGCUCAACCUGGGAACUGCGUUUGAAACUACAAGACUAGAGUGUAGCAGAGGGGCGUGGAAUUCCACGUGUAGCAGUGAAAUGCGUAGAGAUGUGGAGGAACACCGAUGGCGAAGGCAGCCCCCUGGGUUAACACUGACGCUCAGGCACGAAAGCGUGGGGAGCAAACAGG
rnacentral:rRNA from 1 species